AUUGAACGCUGGCGGCAUGCUUUACACAUGCAAGUCGAACGGUAGAGGGGGCAACCCCUUGAGAGUGGCGAACGGGUGAGUAAUGCAUCGGAACGUGCCCAGUAGUGGGGGAUAGCCCGGCGAAAGCCGGAUUAAUACCGCAUACGACCUACGGGUGAAAGGGGGGGAUCGCAAGACCUCUCGCUAUUGGAGCGGCUGAUGUCAGAUUAGCUAGUUGGUGGGGUAAAGGCCUACCAAGGCGACGAUCUGUAGCUGGUCUGAGAGGACGACCAGCCACACUGGGACUGAGACACGGCCCAGACUCCUACGGGAGGCAGCAGUGGGGAAUUUUGGACAAUGGGCGAAAGCCUGAUCCAGCCAUGCCGCGUGCGGGAAGAAGGCCUUCGGGUUGUAAACCGCUUUUGUCAGGGAAGAAAUCUUCUGAGUUAAUACCUCGGGAGGAUGACGGUACCUGAAGAAUAAGCACCGGCUAACUACGUGCCAGCAGCCGCGGUAA
rnacentral:rRNA from 1 species